UACAGAGGUCUCAAGCGUUGUUCGGAUUCAUUGGGCGUAAAGGGUGCGUAGGCGGCGCGGUAAGUCGGGUGUGAAAUCUCGGAGCUUAACUCCGAAACUGCAUUCGAUACUGCCGUGCUUGAGGACUGGAGAGGAGACUGGAAUUUACGGUGUAGCGGUGAAAUGCGUAGAUAUCGUAAGGAAGACCAGUGGCGAAGGCGGGUCUCUGGACAGUUCCUGACGCUGAGGCACGAAGGCCAGAGGAGCAAACGGG
rnacentral:rRNA from 1 species